CCAGGGGUAGUUUUUGUGAUAGAAAAGUAAAUGUAAACAAACAAUAGAUUUAGAAUGCAUUCGAAGAUUCGUGUAUUAUCAAAGGAAAAGUAAUUCAAAAUGUUUUCCAUGCCCAACAAAAAUUGGCGUUUACUUCCGAAUUUUAUUUAAGUUAAUAUUUCAUGUUUCGGUAUUCCCAAGUUUCACUGUAUUCAUUCAGCUUUUUGUUAUGUCCUAGUCCUAGUCCACAGACACAUACCAACAGUUGCUUCCAUAAAAAAAAAAACGAUUAAACAUUCAGCAACUUUUGUAAACAGUUUAAUAAUUGGUCUCUUACUAAAUUAAGUCAUUUCAGGAACUUCAGCAUGUUCUUCAGUAUAUCGAAACAGUGCCAACCCACCUGUGCCAAACUAUACAUGUUUACAACUGGAGUAAAUGUAGCAUGGAUCAACUUCCAGUGACCAACUUCCAGUGACCAACUUCCAGUGACCAACUUGUGGCUAGAGUCGAUACUUACAAGGGUAUUAGUUGCAAUGCUUCCUGACAUGGUAAAUUAUUCCAUAGCAGAAAUAGAUGCUAUGUGUUGAAAAGCUAAAGUGUUUUUUCACUGUGAUGGAGCCCAAGCUGUAGGUAAAAUUCCAAUUGAUGUUGAAUCGAUGUCAAUUGAUUUAUAAAGGUGUUGGUGCUCUUUACGUGAUAGGCCGACCACGGGUUAGGAUUGAAGCUCUGCAAAGUGGACGUGGUCAGGAAUGAGGGAUACGUGGUGGAACAGUUCCUACUCCACUGACAGAGUGACAGUUGGUUUUGGCGCAGCAUGUGA